rnacentral:rRNA from 1 species
CUACGGAAGGCAGCAGUGGGGAAUUUUGGGCAAUGGGCGAAAGCCUGACCCAGCAACGCCGCGUGAGGGAUGAAGGCCUUCGGGUUGUAAACCUCUUUUCUCAGGGACGAUGAUGACGGUACCAGAGGAAGAAGCCACGGCUAACUACGUGCCAGCAGCCGCGGUAAUACGUAGGUGGCGAGCGUUGUCCGGAUUUACUGGGCGUAAAGAGCGCGCAGGCGGUCGUUCAAGUCGAAUGUGAAAGCCCCCGGCUCAACUGGGGAGGGUCAUUCGAUACUGAUCGACUCGAAGGCAGGAGAGGGAAGCGGAAUUCCCGGUGUAGUGGUGAAAUGCGUAGAUAUCGGGAGGAACACCAGUGGCGAAGGCGGCUUCCUGGCCUGUUCUUGACGCUGAGGCGCGAAAGCUAGGGGAGCAAACGGGAUUAGAUACCCGAGUA